CCCGUUGCAACGCACGGGCCUUGUGCUAGUCUAACAAAAAAUUGCAUCCAGUACAUUUGCUUCCGAUGUGUUUCUGUCUUAUAAAAGAAUUGCUUCCACCCGAAAUGAGAUUUGUUUCUAUCUAACUAAAAAUUGCAUCCAAUGUUAGCAACUUUUUUUUACAAUGAUGCAUAAAAAAGUAUUCACAUCUACUAGAAUCAAAUAACCCAUAGAUUCGUUUCGAGUAAACAUAAAAAUGUUACAUUUCCAUCUGAUUACAUAUGUUUCCAAGGUAAUGAAAAUUACAAUUCAGAGUGCGCCUUAACCAGUUCAAGCAACAUCUUUUCUAGCUUCUUUUUGACUGCCUUCACUCUCCCCUACUAUAAAUUCCUAGGCAUGAACUGGGCUUCAGCUGCUGCGUACCACCAAAAUAUAACCUCCACCGGGAAUACAACAAGCGGUCACUAUCUACACCAGCAAAAAAAACAGUUGCAUACAUAAGUUCACCAAAACAACAACAAAAUUACCAGCAAAUGGCUUGAAGCAAAAACAUGAUUUUGCAUGAAGGCAAUAACAGGUUUACUUGUAGCAUAGAAGCAAAGGUAUGUUUUGACGAAAUACUAUGGAAAACAUGUGUAUGGUCAAAGCCAAAAAAAAACUGUCAUUUAGAAAAAAAUAUAUGAAGUAGUAUGGUGGCAUAGAAUUACAUCAACUAGCAGCAUAUGACUUGAAAACCUGGCCGGCUUAAUUUUGUUAGGAAGCAUGGGAGUAUAUAAUGGAAGAAGCAUGAAAAACAUAAAUAAUGGAAUCCAACUUACAUACAUGCAUACAACCAUGGAGAGAGUGCGAGGAGAGGAUACACCAUGGCUUGGUGGAGUAAUGCACAUGUACUACACGUGUGAGGUGACAAAACAAGCCGCUGGUGCAAUCUAAUUUAAAUUCAGGUGGCUAUCUAUAUGCACAUGAAAAAAAUUUAAAAAAAUUGAGAAGCUAUAGUGCCACAAUUGAUCAAUACAUAAGAAGCACGUAUAUGUGACAUGGGAAGCGUGGAUGUUCUGAAGCGAAAUUUUGUCAUUAUCAAAUUGGAAGCUUGGAACAUUGAUAAUGGAAACAAACUGAUUUUGCAACCAACAUGAGUAUGCGUUUUUGUGCCACCUAUGUACAUAAUAGACUAUGUUUUUUUUUUCUUUUUUCCAAUGAAACCAAACCUUCUACUCCACAAAACCAUAUAUUACAAUUAAGAAGCAAGGUGAGUAUGAAGCAUGAAAAUGGUUCUCUGGAAACAUAACUAGUGUCAGUUCAAAGCAUCAGAAUGUGAAAAUGGAACAAAAAAUAAUAUCACCGCCAACAUGGUGAUGCAUAUUUGUGUGAUGUACCCAGGGAAUUCCCAUAAACAGAUUAAUAAUUGAGUGAUCCAAUAGGCAGUACACGGUGGAAAUCAAACCCAACAUACAUAUCAAUCUAUGUAUCAAGACAAGGUGAAUCAAAACCUAGGUUCAUUGAAAACAGUGCUGGAGUCUUCGUUUACGAUCUGGGACUCCGAAGAAGAUGUGAAGAUGAGUGGAGAAAAAUCCUUCACUCCUGCUACAGGCUGCCUAGUUAUCCUCCACGAAGCAAGGUGAGGCAAGCACUUCCCUGGUGAUGGCACGCACGGGCGCGGCGGCCUAACUCAGGUUGGAGCAUCGAGGGGGAGGGGGAGCGGAGGACGCAUCGGAUUGUGGUGCGGGGCAGGAGAUCCUGACCUGGGUAAUUUUGGCAGAGAGGUCAGAGUGGGCGAAGAGGAUUGCGAGCUGGCGGUGCGGUGUGUCGGAAGCCGACCAUGGAGCGGGAGCUCGGCAGUGGCGGAGGAGAACCAGCGCGGCGGCGGAGAUGGAUCGUCGUUGAUGGCGUUGGCAGGAAAAGAGGAUCGAGAAAGGCGAGAUUUGGGGAUAGAGAUAGAGACGGGUGUGUUAAUUGGGAGGCUUGGACCUUUUUUUUUGCUUUUUUGAGUGAGCUGUUGGCCGUGAGAUGGUGCAGGAUCAACGUCAAGCAAUUAGUCUGACGUUUGCUUUCUAUCAGCCGUAUGAUAAACAGUGUUUCCCAAGGAAAAAUGACUAAUAUUUAAUUUGUCCAAUAUGUGGUCCCGCACAAACUCACAUGAUUUCAUCUACUUACAAGUGAAAC
rnacentral:lncRNA from 1 species